AGAGUGAACGCUGGCGGCAGGCCUAACACAUGCAAGUCGAACGGCAGCACAGGAGAGCUUGCUCUCUGGGUGGCGAGUGGCGGACGGGUGAGGAAUACGUCGGAAUCUGCCUAUUUGUGGGGGAUAACGUAGGGAAACUUACGCUAAUACCGCAUACGACCUACGGGUGAAAGCGGAGGACCUUCGGGCUUCGCGCAGAUAGAUGAGCCGACGUCGGAUUAGCUAGUUGGCGGGUAAAGGCCCACCAAGGCGACGAUCCGUAGCUGGUCUGAGAGGAUGAUCAGCCACACUGGAACUGAGACACGGUCCAGACUCCUACGGGAGGCAGCAGUGGGGAAUAUUGGACAA
rnacentral:rRNA from 1 species